CGUGCCGCUUGAUUAAAAAUGUCCUUCGCGAUAAGAAACUAACCAGGAGCGUCACACAAUCUUAUCACAAGACACAGCGAUGAUCUCUUCCGUAAUGUGAGUUAUCGUAAGCGCCACUCGUACGAGAUAAGUCGCAGCACAACAAUAUUUUCCAACUACCUGCCUCGAAGAACUGUCAAGCCUCUGUGAAAGACGAAGUCUUUCGUCCGGUCGUAUACUUCACGAUAAACAACCACCCCGCACGAUAUUAACGUUACAUACAUCUUGGGGCCCGCGGCCAUCACUGAUUUCCACUGAUCUUCUGACAGUGGCGCCGCUGUUCCUGAACGGGAGAACGUGGAAUCAAAACGGAGCAUGCGCUUCUUUUCGAAUUCUGGGUAUUCCCAAUGUUAAGACGAAUGGUUGGAUAAUACAUAUGUAUAUAAUGCGUAAUACACACAGUAUCACAGAAUUGUGAUGGGUAUAGGUUCAGAUAAGAGUGAUGCAUUCGUUUAGUAUUGUUCACACAAGUAGCAAGAAACAGGGAGAAUAUCUUCAGGACCUUCGAUGCCAACUCCCUCAGAACCUCUGUCACCUUUAUCGCCCCGUUCCCCUGGUGGACCUUGAGGACCUACAGGGCCCACAGGUCCAGGAAGUCCUACAAAGCCUCGUUCACCUGGCAGACCAGGUACACCUGGAUCACCUGCACCACGUAAAAGAAUACAUUCAGAAUCACAGUGGUUUCACGCAAACUUGCUGUUGAUUAAAAAGCAAAGAAAAGCCUUUUCCCAGUAAAGUUUGAAAAUAACUAGAAUAUUUGCAAAGUUAAUAAAUGCACUAUACGUAUAUGAAAACUAACUAAAAAUGUUGUCUAUACUAUAUAGAUAUUUAAAAAAGUUAUUUAAGAAUAUACAAAUUGAACUUUUAAUUCUACUAAAAAUUGUGUGAAAUACUACAGUAAUAGUAUAUGUAAUGGAAAAAUACUACAUAUAGAAAGGAA